UUUCCCUCCGUCAUCGUAUCUCUCCUCUCUUGUAGCCUACUGGGAGUGUCAGUGUUUAUGAAGAUCAACGGAUGAGCUCGCGAUGAUGGAUCGCGCCGAAACACCGAGCGCCAUUUUCUGUUCACGUUAUCAGCACUUUUCACGGUUGACGACCCACCGUCCUUAAUGCUGACCUGGAGUCAGUUCAUGGGUUUUCCAGUGUCUCGUGGCAUUUUUAAGAGACAUGCUUUUAUCCGACUCACUCGUUCUCUCUCUUCAUGCUGAGUUUGUGUCUCUCGACCAUCCUGUAGAAAUGCUCUAGCAGUUGCCAUAGAAACCCACCUUAAAAUGCACAGAUGUUGGCGAGAGGAAAGAGUGUAUGAGGAAGAUCAGAGUCGACUGGAAGUACACUCAGCUGGUCGAUGUAUGUCAGUUUGAUUGGACCCUUGGCUCCCGCUGUCUCUCUCUUUGGUCCCGUCACUGGAAUAAAAGACCCGGUGUGUGUGUGAACGCUUGCUGUGACAUCUUCAGAAACACCCGAGGGCGGUGAAGAAGCCGUGAGAGAGAUUUCAGGUGCUUCUUCACUGAAUACAGUACAGAGACAUGCGCUCGCAUUUUAGCAAGGUUAACAACACGAGCUACGCUAGAUAAACGAGCUCCACUUACGCCUGUCAGUGACGGGACACCGGAGAACUGCACAAACACACAGGGAGACUCAGAAUAGCUCGUCUUUGAGCCCGAGUCAUGCAUUUAUAAUAUAGAUAUGAAUAACCAACGCUCAAAAUGUCAGCAAUGAACAAAGUUU